rnacentral:lncRNA from 1 species
AAUGCAUAAUGUCAUGUAUCUGCCAUUAUAGUACCAUCCAGACUAAUGUCACCACCCUAAAAACCCCUGUGCGUCAUCUCUUUGUCCCUCCCAACUAACCCCUGCCAACCACUCAUCUUUUUACUGUCUCUGUGGUUUCGUCUUCUCUGGAUUGUUGUAUAGUUGGAAUCAUUCAGUAUGUAGGCUUUUCAGAUUUGUUUCUUUUACUUAGUAAUAUGCAUUUAAGGUUCUUCCAUGUCUUAUUGUAUCUGGUUUGUUUUUUAAUUGACUCCAGGAAAGAAAAAAUAAGCAGCCCAAAUCUGUCACUUCACCUAAUUUUGUUUCCCAACCCAAGCCAAGCCAUUUCCUACACAUCUGGAUUCAGAUAUCAUACGAGAAAACACGUUCCUCGACACCCAUAUAAAACUGCAGUCCCCGGCCCUCAUUCUUUCCUGGCUUUAUUUUUAGCACUUUCUCAUACACCUUUACUUUUAUUUAUUCAUAUUGUUUAAUGUCUGUCUCCAUGAGCACAGGGGUUAUUGCUAUUUUAUUUUUUGUUGUUUUUCCAGCUCUUGAAAUAGUGUCUGCCAUGUAGGGCCCUUGGUAAACAUCGAAUGAAUACAUCAAAUUGACACCCCCCAAAAAUAUUUAUGUGCACUCGUGUGCUUGACUCCAUGGCUGGCAUGCCCCUUGGCUUGAGAGGAAAUCAAGAAAUUAGGAUGGGAAGAUGGAGUGAGGAGGUGUAAGGGGACACAAAUCCAAGGUGUCCUCGUGGCAGCCAUAACUUACAGUUCCUCACUAUCACCAGGACUUCUAACCCCAUAGAGAGCUCAUAAUUGUGAGAACCAGGAACACAGAAUCUCCCAGUGAGUCACCAGGAGGGAUGGUAAGGCAUUCCUGUUUCUACUCCUUCAGCCCUGGAUCUGUGUUUCAGGGUCCCGGGUUUUGCCCAUC